UUGCGUUGGCGCCCUCCUUUAAGGCGAGGCACAGGGCACUCGGAGGGACCGCCUCUAGGGCGGCUCCUACCCUCCGCCCCGCUUGCACCCACCCGUCCCACCCCUCGCAGUUUGCCCCAGGGGCAGGGACUCUGACCUCAGGCUCUCGGGAUGCGACCUGGGCAGUCCCUGGCCUUCGCUCUCUUAACGAGUCGCGUGGGCUGACAUAAAAGGCGCGAGAGGGCUUUUCUCCAUCUCCAGUAAGGAUAGAGCCCCUCUGCAGCUACCGAUUUGGGAAAUACCUGAGGUUUUUUCCACUUGCACAUAAAGGCUGUUCUAGCCCUGAAGCUGGCUAGUAACGACGCUGUAGUCCCAGCUACUCCGGAGGCUGAGAGUCAGGAGGAUCACGUGACAGCUAGGCUUUAUAAGGAAGUAAAAACAACUGGUGAAGAGAAGAACCAUUUAUUUUCAAUACUGAAGACGAAGUUUCGCUCAUUGUUGCUGAGGCUGGACUACAAACAGCUCACUGCGCUGCCCGGCCCAAAACCAAGUAAUGUACUGCAUGGGCCGGGAAUUGAACCCAGACCUCCCGCGUGGGAAGCGAGAAUUCUACCACUGAACCACCCAUGCACCAACAGAAGUAUUGAGGAAAAGCAAUAACAUCAUCGGAACGCGACUAGAAGAUGCUCUUUGUAGCUAGAAAGAUAAUAGAUAACGGAGAAAGAAGAUGAUAAUAUUUUGGUCACUUGGCUGGGCAUGGUGGCUCAUGCCUGUAAUCUCAGCACUUUGGGAGGCCGAGUGGGGAGGAUUGCUUGAGCCCAGGA